GACGUAGGGCGCAAGCGUUGUCCGGAUUUAUUGGGCGUAAAGAGCUCGUAGGCGGCUCGUUGCGUCGGCUGUGAAAACCCGCAGCUCAACUGUGGGCUUGCAGCCGAUACGGGCGGGCUGGAGUUCGGUAGGGGAGACUGGAAUUCCUGGUGUAGCGGUGAAAUGCGUAGAUAUCAGGAGGAACACCUGCGGUGUAGACGGCUUACUGGACCAUAACUGACGCUGAGGCACGAAAGCGUGGGUAGCAAACAGG
rnacentral:rRNA from 1 species